AGCGAACGCUGGCGGCAGGCCUAACACAUGCAAGUCGAACGAACCUUUCGGGGUUAGUGGCGGACGGGUGAGUAACACGUGGGAACGUGCCUUUAGGUUCGGAAUAACUCAGGGAAACUUGUGCUAAUACCGAAUGUGCCCUUCGGGGGAAAGAUUUAUCGCCUUUAGAGCGGCCCGCGUCUGAUUAGCUAGUUGGUUGAGGUAAUGGCUCACCAAGGCGACGAUCAGUAGCUGGUCUGAGAGGAUGAUCAGCCACAUUGGGACUGAGACACGGCCCAAACUCCUACGGGAGGCAGCAGUGGGGAAUCUCGCGCAAUGGGCGAAAGCCUGACGCAGCCAUGCCGCGUGAAUGAUGAAGGUCUUAGGAUUGUAAAAUUCUUUCACCGGGGACGAUAAUGACGGUACCCGGAGAAGAAGCCCGGCUAACUUCGUG
rnacentral:rRNA from 1 species